CCUACGGGAGGCUGCAGUGGGGAAUUUUGCGCAAUGGGGGCAACCCUGACGCAGCAAAGCCGCGUGAUCGAUGAAGCCCUUCUGGGUGUAAAGAUCUGUCAGUGGGGACGAAACCUGACGGUCCCCACAGAGGAAGCACCGGCUAACUCCGUGCCAGCAGCCGAGGUAAUACGGAGGGGGCAAGCGUUGUCCGGAAUCAUUGGGCGUAAAGAGUUCGUAGGUGGUACGUUAAGUCAGAUGUUAAAGGCGGAAGCUCAACUUCCGUAGGGCACUGGAUACUGGUGAGCUUGAAUGCGGUAGAGGUAGAGGGAAUUCCUGGUGUAGCGGUGAAAUGCGUAGAUAUCAGGAGGAACAUAGGUGGCGUAAGCGCUUUACUGGGCCGUAACUGACACUGAGGAACGAAAGCCGGGGGAGCAAAUGGGAUUAGAUACCCUUGUAGUC
rnacentral:rRNA from 1 species